UCAAAAGAAACAAACACCAGUUUUAUUAGCUAACAUUGAAAGAUGACACAAGUUGUUAAGCCACAUGAACCCAAGACACAGGCGUUUACACUUGCGAGUGGUCAUACCAUACCAGCUGUUGGAUUGGGGACAUGGAAGUCUGGUUCAGAGGCAGCCAAUUCUGUGUUCACUGCUAUUAUUGAUGCUGGUUACAGACACAUAGACACUGCUUCGCAGUAUGGAGUUCAAAAAGAAGUUGGACAAGCACUCCAAGCAGCCAUGAAAGCAGGAGUGGAAAGGAAGGAUCUAUUUGUCAGCUCCAAACUAUGGUGCACCGACUUGACCCCUGAGAGGGUUAGACCUGCUCUCAACAAUACCCUUCAAGAACUCCAACUUGACUACCUUGAUCUUUACUUGCAGAUUCAUUGGCCAUUUCGUCUAAAAGAUGGGGCCAGCAGACCCCCAGGACCAGGAGAUGUUUUAGAGUUUGACAUGGAAGGGGUGUGGAGAGAAAUGGAGAAGCUUGUGGAGGAAAAGCUUGUCAGAGACAUUGGAAUCUGCAAUUUCACUCUAGCAAAGCUUGAAAAGCUGCUGAGCAUUGCUCAAAUAAAGCCUUCUGUCUGCCAGAUGGAAAUGCAUCCUGGAUGGAGAAAUGAUAAGAUGCUUGCCGUUUGCAAGAAGAAUGACAUCCAUGUCACUGCUUACUCUCCACUGGGUUCAUCAGACAGUGGGAGGAAUCUGACCAAAGAUCAAACGGUUGAUAGGAUAGCUAACAAAUCUCACAAGAACCCAGGGCAGGUGCUGGUGAAGUGGGCCAUCCAGAGAGGGACAAGUGUCAUCCCCAAAUCAGUCAAGCCAGAUAGGAUCAUGGAGAAUGUCAGUGUCUUCAAUUGGGAACUUCCAGCAAAAGAUUUUAAGGCCCUUAGCAGCAUGCAGGAGCAGAGAAGAGUUCUGGACGGUGAACCGCUCUUUGUGAACAAGAGCGAUGGUCCAUUUAAGAGUGCGGCGGAUUUAUGGGACCAUGAAGAUUAGUCUACACAUCCACCAACCCUCUCUUUUCCAAUGCACUUUGUAGGAUUAGAUUUAACGUAAUGUAAUACUUGUUCUUAUAAAGGACCAUUUUGCAGAUAUUAAGAGACAGAAUAUGGAACCUAGACAACUUCCAUUUGAGUUUAUACGUCAGAAGUCACUCUUCACAAUGCAAAUUCAAUUUAUAAAAUGAAGAAGACAAAUCUUUCCAUUGGUGACAGUCAUAAUGGUAUGUAAUUUACUAGAUGGUCACCCUGACAAUGUUUUGAGAAGGCACAACCAUUACAUCUUUUACAUCUUGAGGCCCUUCAUUAGUGAGCUUCAACGUGGUGAAUAGUACUUGGACGAUUGCCGUUUACUCAUACCCCUGGCAAGGCGUGGAAGUUUUGACAAAGAGUUGGCUCUCGAAUACCCUCCAAGAGCUUUCCAUUCCUCAUCUAUUUCCAACCCAACCUUGCCAUCCACUGGUGUUCAUUCAGAAACAAACAUAUGGCAGCACAAUCAUCAACCUUGGAACCAGGAUAUUUGUAUCUCCAAGCUUUUACAGCACGCUUUACUAACAACUUGGCUGCAAUGGACCUCCUUGGUGCUGAAGCAACUAUGCUUAUUACUUCAUGGUUAGUGAGCACAUCCCAUAUCUGUGUAGAAAACAAAAAAUAUAAAAUUUUGAUCAUUCCAAUGGAUGUUUGUAAAAGUAAUUCAUUGCUUCCAUGAUUUGACUAAAUACUAGCAUAGGUUAAACUGUUACUUAGGCCCUACAGCUGUCCACAUUUCAAGGUUUAGUCUCUUUAUGAGAAAACCAUAAGUUGUAGUUC